rnacentral:pre_miRNA from 1 species
CAAGUAAUCCCUCCGUUCGGAAUUACUUGUCAUCAAAAUGGAUGUGUCUAGAACUAAAAUACAUCUAGAUACAUCCAUUUCAAUGACAAGUAUUUUCGGACGGAGGGAGUACAAG